UACGAGGGGGGCGAGCGUUGUUCGGAAUUAUUGGGCGUAAAGGGUGCGUAGGCGGUUUGGUAAGUCUGAUGUGAAAUCUAUAGGCUCAACUCAUAGUCUGCAUCGGAAACUGCCGGGCUUGAGUGUGGGAGAGGUGAGUGGAAUUCCUGGUGUAGCGGUGAAAUGCGUAGAUAUCAGGAGGAACACCUGUGGCGAAAGCGGCUCACUGGACCAUAACUGACGCUGAUGCACGAAAGCUAGGGGAGCAAACAGG
rnacentral:rRNA from 1 species